ACCAGCCAUUGUUAUGGAGGUCAUGAGAUUUUUUAACUUCUCCAAGUACUCCUAUAAAUAACAUCACUAUUGUAUUAGGUUGGUGCAAAAAUAGUUGUGAUUUUUGCCAUAAUGGCUAAAACCACAAUUACUUUUGCACUUAUCUAAUAGAGCCUAAGACUGGCCUUUUGAGAUGUCUUUUCAGACUGUGGAUUUCUGAUGACUGGAUGGCUCCACUCAGACCCAUGACUCAUGACAACCAUUUUUCACACCCCUACCAAUCAGCAGCACCCAUUCUCUAGCCCCUGCCCACCAAACUAUCUUUAAAAACCUCUAGCCUUCACAUUUCUAGAGAGGCUGAUCUGAGUAAUAAUACAACGGCAGUCUCCUGUUUAACCAUCUCUACAUGUAUUAAACUCUUUCUCUAUUGCAAUUCUCUUGUCUUAAUAAAUCAGCUGUAUCUGGGAAGUGGCAGAGAAGAACCCAUCAGGCAGUUACAUCAUUUCAGCAAGGACUUUAAUGGAUAGAUGUGGGGAUUCUGGAGUAUAAGCUCCAGAAUCACAGGAUAUGGCAUGGGAAAAUGAACAUACAGCUUAGAGUUUAGUGGUAAAAGAUUGAGUUUCACUUAAAUGAACUUGAACCAGUGAUUUGGAAUUUCUGGCCUUUAGUUCUCUCACUUAUAAAAUGGGAACAAUAAUGAGUUCUCAGUGUUUUUGUGAGGAUUCACUGUGGAAGGUCUAUGCCCUCUUCUCCCUGCUGCUCUCAUUGCAGGAAGGAACAGCUUCAGCCAUAGGUGACAGUGGCACACAUCUCACUGAAGACAGAGAAGGACAAGUUGAAAACAUGGAUUUUUGUGUUGUACCAUGUCUUAUGAUGGUAUCAUUCAACAAUUUUUAAAAUUAGAUUUUGGAAAACAUUUUUUUAUCUUCUACCUCAUUGUAUUCUUUCAACCGCCAAGUGAAGCCAGUACUUUAAGCCUCACUGCCAAUUUACAGAGCACAGAAUAAAACAGAAGAGAAUAAAAUGAUAUGGGUUGCAGCUUCCCAGUUGUAACGAGCAAAAGGAUAGGAGCCUCAGACUCUUAGUUCUGAACCCUGCCUGGGUUCCUCCCCAGCUCUGUGACUUUGACCAAGUUAUUUGAUGUCAUGAGCUUCAAUUUCCUCAUAUACAGUAAGUCCUCACUUAACAUCAUUGAUAAUUUCUUGGAAACGGUGACUUUAAGAGAAUCAACUAUGAGAAAACCAAUUUUCCCAUAGGCGAAUUGAUGUUAAAAAUACUUAGCUUCUUACGGCAUAUUUCUGGUCACACAAACAUCACCAAACUUCUAGAUAAAGACCAAAACAUUAAACAUUGAAAUAAAUGCGAGCAAUACAUACAUUUAGGAAGAUUAAUUAAAACAAGUAAAAUAAUUGUUAUAUUUACUGAGUUAUUUUAGUUCAGGGCCUUGGGUGGCCGGAGUAUACCCCAGCAGCUCAGGGCACAAUGUGGAACCAGCCCUGGACAAGACGCCCUCCAAUCUCAGGGUACACUCACACCAGGACACUUUAGACAUACCAGUUAGCCCAACAUGCACAUCUUUGGGAUAUGGGAAAAAACUGGAGGGCCUGGAGAAAACCUACAACAGACAUGGGGAGAAUGUGGGAACUCCACACGGUCAGUGUUAGAACAAAAAAAUGUGUAAUGACCUUAUAACAAGACCACGUUGAAAGAAGAGAGCUUAUUUGAGGACCGGCUGUACAAGGAUGGUGAUGAGGUUGAGGAGGAUGAUAACUAUCUCCUAGGAUUAUUGUGAAAAUUACAUAAAAAGUGUUUGAAAAUUGCUAGCACGCCAUCAGGAACAUGAUAAACACUCAAUAAAUGUAUGCAUUUGUUUUCUUUCCUCCUACAUAUUGUCUUCAGAGUAUCUUUUUGGGGGCUCAAUAUGCCAAAUUCCAGUUUGGAUAGAAGCUUAGAAAGUUUCAACUUCCUUAUAGAGUAGGAUUUUAACUAGCUAGAUCUUUAAUUCUUGCAUUCAAUGAAUGCACAAGCAAUUUAGCUAAGUAAAGAGUUUCAUGUAACCAUUUCCUAUAAAAAUGUGUUUAAAUUUGUUUUUGAGGUUGCAAGAGCAUUGAUGAACUUUUGGAGGGGGG
rnacentral:lncRNA from 10 species